AUUGAACGCUGGCGGCAGGCUUAACACAUGCAAGUCGAGCGAGCGGCGGACGGGUGAGUAAUGUCUGGGAAACUGCCUGAUGGAGGGGGAUAACUAAUGGAAACGGUAGCUAAUACCGCAUACCAUCAGAUGUGCCCAGAUGGGAUUAGCUAGUAGGUGGGGUAAUGGCGCACUUAGGCGACGAUCCCUAUCUGGUCUGAGAGGAUGACCAGCCACACUGGAACUGAGACAGGGUCCAAACGCCUACGGGAGGCAGCAGUGGGGAAUAGUGCACAAUGGGCGCAAGCUGGAUGCAGCCAUGCCGAGUGUGUGAAGAAGGACUUCGGGUUGUACAGCACUUUCAGCGAGGAGGCGUUACCCGCAGAAGAAGCACCGGCUAACUCCGUGCCAGCAGCCGCGGUAAUAC
rnacentral:rRNA from 1 species